rnacentral:rRNA from 1 species
GGAACCGGAGCUAAUACCGGAUAAUAUUUUGAACCGCAUGGUUCAAAAGUGAAAGACGGUCUUGCUGUCACUUAUAGAUGGAUCCGCGCUGCAUUAGCUAGUUGGUAAGGUAACGGCUUACCAAGGCAACGAUGCAUAGCCGACCUGAGAGGGUGAUCGGCCACACUGGAACUGAGACACGGUCCAG